rnacentral:lncRNA from 1 species
CCUCAGCCAACCCCACAGGGAGCUUGGGUGAUAAAAAGGCCCAUAAAGGUGUCCCUCAUUAGGUCAAAAUGUUGGGCCUUUAUACUGUCACCUCAAUCAGUUGUUGUGUAUGGACUGCCCCAGGGAGCGUCUGAUCCUGGGCGAGGCUACUCUCUGCAGCUGAGGCGAACCCUAAGGAGGCUGACAGUUGAACGUUGUCUGCCAACUGCCCUUGCAGUGGCAGAGCAACGAUCUUCCUACUUUAAGAGAGAUCUGAGGGGCCCAUCACUGAGGCCACCAUGUAUCAAAUCCUACCUAACAACAGGCAUGAUUGCUGGAGUUCCAGCAUCCACUUGUGAUCAUAUGGCAACCAUGAGGAGUGAAGCCAGUGCUAAGGAUGAUGGAGCAGAAGAAGAAAAGGAGCUAGGCCCCUGGCAACAAGAGAGUGUCCUGAUCUUAGUGCCCACUAAGAGGCCAAAGAACUUGCUUCCUCUCUCUUGCUGCUGUGUGAGGAUACAGGAAGGAGGUGAUCAUCUGCAAGUCAGGAAGGGAGCCCUCAACAAGAACUAAAUCUGCUGGUACUUUGAUCUUGGACUUCCCAGUCUCCAGAACUGCGAGAAAUAAAUGUCUGUUGUUUAAGCCACCCUUUCUAUGGUAUUUUUUUAAUAGUAGCUAAGCUGAUUAAGACAGUAGUCUUUGGCACUCUGGAAACAUUUUCCUGUUUCUGCCAUUUGUAGAUCUAAUAACCCUAUCAAAAUGUGCAACCUAAGAUUUCUUCACAGGGCACUUCUCACUCAUUUAAAUUUCAGGAAAUGUCCUCUCCAUGGCUACCUUGUCUGUUUGUAGUAUCUCAUUGAAUCCAUGCUACUGUUGAUAUAAGACACACCAUUAUUUUGUAUGCUAUGA